UACGUAGGUGGCAAGCGUUGUCCGGAUUUACUGGGCGUAAAGGGCUUGUAGGCGGUUUGUUAAGUCUGGUGUGAAAUCUCCCGGCUCAACCGGGAGGGGUCAUCGGAUACUGGCAGACUUGAGACGGGUAGAGGAAAGCAGAAUUCCCGGUGUAGCGGUGAAAUGCGUAGAUAUCGGGAGGAAUACGAGUGGCGAAGGCGGCUUUCUGGGCCUGUUCUGACGCUGAGGAGCGAAAGCGUGAGGAGCAAACCGG
rnacentral:rRNA from 1 species